CUAACCAGGAUUCCCCUAGUAACGGCGAGUGAAGAGGGAAGAGCCCAGCACCGAAGCCUGCGGUAGUUUUACUGUUAGGCAAUGUGGUGUUUGGGUCGGCUAGCGGGAUUGCCACUCCACUCGAAGUCCAGCAUUGAGUAUGGUCCACUGGAUUUGGCCCAGAGAGGGUGAAAGGCCCGUACGGGUGGAGGUUUCAGACAAGUGAGGCAGUUCACUAGGCCGGCCUUAGAGUCGGGUUGUUUGGGAAUGCAGCCCAAAGUGGGUGGUAAACUCCAUCCAAGGCUAAAUACUAGCACGAGUCCGAUAGCAAACAAGUACCGUGAGGGAAAGUUGAAAAGUACUUUGAAGAGAGAGUAAACAGUACGUGAAACCGCAUGCAGGUAAACGGGUGGCGUCAAGCUGCACGCCCAGAGGAUUCAGCCGGUUAGAGUGUAGUUAUGCGCUUGCGUGUCAAACGGCCAGUGUAAGAUUGGAUAGUCCACUGGAAGACAGUGGGCCCUGCCGCAAGGUGGGGAUGUGUGUACCGGGUGGAAGCCGGAGCACGCUAUUCGUCUAUUGGGCCAUCUAGCCGGUGCACUUUCUCUGUGGUGGACACCACGACCGGUGGAACUGCCAGUCUGCCAUGGUUAACUAUCAUUCGACUUGGCUUCGGUCAUGUCGGGUGGUUCACAGGCAAUUUCGGUGAACGGCGUUGAUGCGGCCCCGGUCGCGUCCUCGUGUUAUCGGUAACCGGUUGUCCAUACGGGUCGGUGCGAUUGUUUAUGGCCGUCGCAUUGUACCUCGUGGAUCAUGGUGGUAAGAAUAACUGUGCAGGGCACCGGAGUUUUCGGCCUCAAAUGCAGCCGGCAUGCACGCUAUAAGUGUUGAAUGCGGGUGCUCACGUGGUCUGCCUGUGACGCUUCUGACUGUCGUGUUGCCUGCGAAAAGUAGGUUCGGCAGUGUGGCGUUGCUUGAUGGAUUCGCGUUGGGUGCCUGCAGUGUCGGUUGUAGUGGGCCUGAUAGUCUGUGGUGUAGUGGUAGACGAGCUACCCGACCCGUCUUGAAACACGGACCAAGGAGUUUAACAUGUGUGCAAGUCACUGGGUCCUACGAAACCCAAAGGCGCAAUGAAAGUAAAGCUCUGGAGUCAAAUCUAGAGUGAGGUGAGAUCCUACCGUGACUCCGCCAGCCUAUUCGGUCAGAAGCAGGCAUACCGCGCGGUGGGCGCAUCACCGGCCCGUCCCAUGAUGUGGUCAUUGGAAAAGGCUGUUGCUGGCUUCGGU
rnacentral:rRNA from 1 species